rnacentral:rRNA from 1 species
GACGAACGCUGGCGGCGUGCUUAACACAUGCAAGUCGAACGGAAAGGCCCUGCUUUUGUGGGGUGCUCGAGUGGCGAACGGGUGAGUAACACGUGAGUAACCUGCCCUUGACUUUGGGAUAACUUCAGGAAACUGGGGCUAAUACCGGAUAGGAGCUCCUGCUGCAUGGUGGGGGUUGGAAAGUUUCGGCGGUUGGGGAUGGACUCGCGGCUUAUCAGCUUGUUGGUGGGGUAGUGGCUUACCAAGGCUUUGACGGGUAGCCGGCCUGAGAGGGUGACCGGCCACAUUGGGACUGAGAUACGGCCCAGACUCCUACGGGAGGCAGAAGGGGGGAAUAUUGCACCAUGGGCGGAAGCCUGAUGCAGCAACCCCGCGUGCGGGAUGACGGCCUUCGGGUUGUAAACCGCUUUCGCCUGUGACGAAGCGUGAGUGACGGUAAUGGGUAAAGAAGCACCGGCUAACUACGUG